UUAGUAACUGCGAGUGAAGAGGGAAAAGCUCAAAUUUAAAAUCUGGCAGCAUUUUGUUGUCCGAGUUGUAACCUAGAGAAGUGUAACCUGUGCUGGACCGUGUAUAAGUUUCCUGGAAUGGAGCAUCACAGAGGGUGAGAAUCCCGUCUUUGACAUGGACUACCAGUGCAUUGUGGUUGUGCUCUCAACGAGUCGAGUUGUUUGGGAAUGCAGCUCUAAAUGGGUGGUAAAUUCCAUCUAAAGCUAAAUAUUGGCGAGAGACCGAUAGCGAACAAGUACCGUGAGGGAAAGAUGAAAAGAACUUUGGAAAGAGAGUUAAACAGUAUGUGAAAUUGUUGAAAGGGAAACGUUUGAAGUCAGUCGCGUUAGCUGGGGAUCAGCCUGACAUUGUUGGGUGCACUUCCUGGUUGACGGGCCAACAUCAGUUUUGACUGCCAGAAAAAGGCCAAGGGAAUGUGGCACCUUUGGGUGUGUUAUAGCCUUUGGUCAUAUAUGGUGGUUGGGACUGAGGAAUGCAGUGUGCCGAAAGGCCGGGUUUCGACCACGUUCACACUGAGGAUGUUGGCAUAAUGGCUUUAAGCGACCCGUCUUGAAACACGGACCAAGGAGUCUAACAUGCAUGCGAGUGUUUGGGUGGAAAACCCUUACGCGUAAUGAAAGUGAAAGUUGAGAUCCCUGUCAUGGGGAGCAUCGACGCCCGGACCAGAACUUUUGGGACGGAUCUGCGGUAGAGCACGUAUGUUGGGACCCGAAAGAUGGUGAACUAUGCCUGAAUAGGGUGAAGCCAGAGGAAACUCUGGUGGAGGCUCGUAGCGAUUCUGACGUGCAAAUCGAUCGUCAAAUUUGGGUAUAGGGGCGAAAGA
rnacentral:rRNA from 1 species